rnacentral:piRNA from 1 species
UUCAUAAUGGAUGGCAACCGUCGC